rnacentral:rRNA from 1 species
AACGAACGCUGGCGGCAGGCUUAACACAUGCAAGUCGAGCGCGUAGCAAUACGAGCGGCAGACGGGUGAGUAACACGUGGGGAUCUGCCCGAUGGUACGGAAUAACUCAGGGAAACUUGUGCUAAUACCGUAUGUGCCCGCAAGGGGAAAGAUUUAUCGCCAUCGGAUGAACCCGCGUCAGAUUAGCUAGUUGGUGUGGUAAAGGCGCACCAAGGCGACGAUCUGUAGCUGGUCUGAGAGGAUGAUCAGCCACACUGGGACUGAGACACGGCCCAGACUCCUACGGGAGGCAGCAGUGGGGAAUAUUGGACAAUGGGCGCAAGCCUGAUCCAGCCAUGCCACGUGAGUGAUGAAGGCCUUAGGGUUGUAAAGCUCUUUCGCCGACGAAGAUAAUGACGGUAGUCGGAGAAGAAGCCCCGGCUAACUUCGUGCCAGCCGCCGCCGUAAAAC